rnacentral:tRNA from 1 species
GCUCGGGUGGCGGAAUUGGUAGACGCGCUAGGUUGAGGGCCUAGUGGCCGCUUUAGGCCGUGCGGGUUCGAGUCCCGCCCCGAGCACCA